GGGGGGUCUGUCUUUAGGAAGUAAAUCUUCAAGUCUAUAGAUCUGAAUGAAAUAGUCUUAACACACUUCUUUUUAAAUAUUUUCAGAUUUUGUGUUGGAGACAAAUUUUUCCUAAAGAAUAACAUGAUCCUUUGCCAGACGGACUACGAGGAAGGUUUAAUGAAAGAAGGUUAUGCACCCCAGGUUCGCUGAUCUAUCAACAUCACCCCAUUAUGAAUACAAAGCACUACAUUCUUUUAUCUUUUUUGCUCCACAUGUAUAUAAGAAUUGACACAGGAGCCAACUGAAUAGCGUAGAUAUAGGGAAGCAGGAUGGUUAAAUGGAAUUAAAGGCGGACUGCAUCUGUAUGUAGUAAAAUUGCCCCAGUUCAGAGUUGAAUGUUUAUUAUUAAAGAAAAAAAGUAAUGUACAUAUUGCUGGAUUUUUUUGCUUGCUAUUCGUUUUUGUGUCACUUGGCAUGAGAUGUUUAUUUUGGACUAUUGUAUAUAAUGUAUUGUAAUAUUUGAAGCACAAAUGUAAUACAGUUUUAUUGUGUUACCAUUUGUGUUCUGUUUGCUUCUUUGUAUUGUUGCAUUUAGUACAAUCAGUGUUUAAACUUCUGUAUAUUUAUGCUUUCUGUAUCUACCAGCUAUUUUAAAUGAGCUGUAACUUUCUAGUAAAGAAUUGAAGAGAAAAAUCUCACUAAUGAUACACAGAUAGAUAAAGCAAGUCUAUCAACAUUAAAAGUACUAAAAAAUAAAGACACACACAAAGCAUUUUAGUGACAUCUACUACUUAUUGCCACUAUGAUUUAGAGUCUAUCAGUGUUCUCAUUAUAACCCCCUAUUUUCAGGGGGUUAAAGAUCAGCUUUAAAAAAUGCAUAAAAUUCAUCCUAAAGCACUUUGAUUUUAUACCAACGUGAAAAGUGCCAUUUUUGAAAUACCUUUAAAGCUUAACGAUUAUCCUUUCAGUAUCCUUUUUUGUGCUCACAGACACAAUAGCUUUAUCUUAUUUUUCCAGCCACACCCCCUAUGUGAACUAGUGCCUUUGGGUAUCAUAUAAAAUUUUUCCAAAGGGUUACUUUAAAAAAGUAUUGCCACAAUUAUGAGGUAAUUUUAAACUGAUAAAUUUCUUGUAUAAAUGUUGCCCAGAUCUCUCCACAGGAGCUAAGGGUUUAAUCACUGGGCUAAAUGAAUUUAUGGCACUGAAAAGAUCUGAGUGUGAAUCUUCUGAAAUGAUGGUAAUGCACAUUGAAGCUAUAAUGGUACUUGAGUAGUGAGGUUACUUUUGAUCAGAGCAACAUCAUGCUUGUAGAAUCUUCUAGAAGAAGAGAAACAAAAGGAUUGAUAAAAAGCUGAGAAGUGGUGAUUUUCUAUUUUUCUGUAUUUGCCUACCAUUUAAUGUUCAAAAAAUGAAUGCUUUAAGUUUGGUAUGUCAUAUUUUCUCAUCACUUAAAGUAAUUACCAACUCAGAAUAUCUUACACUUAGGCUAAAUUCUGUCACUCCAUUUUUGAAAGGGGCCAUAUUCCCUUACCUUAAUGAUAGCUGAUAAAGAAGAAAGCUCUAGAAACAGAAAUUAUGGAGAAUGAUUAUUUAAAUUAUAAUGAAGAAAAUAAAAAUGAGAAUAUGGCCCCUUCUGGGUGGCUCACACUUUCCUCCUUGUCUCUAUAAAGGAACUCCUUUUCAACAAAUCUCAUUCCACACAGUCACAAUGAACCACAUUUUUACUAGAGCAAAAACUUAGUGCUGUGGGUUUUCUUUCUUCACUUUUCCUUGGUCGCUUGUAAAGGGAACAGUAUUUCCCAGUGUUAUUUGCAUACAUAUUUUGUCCUGCCAAUAUAUGCAUUACAAUGAAAAUUACAUGUUAUACCUGAAUUCUUGGUUUGGGGCCAAAAUAUUAAGCUGAAGAUAAUGCUGGUGUGGAUUUGAGUUGUUUUAAAUCAAAGCUUUAUUAUGAACAUGCAUGUGAAUCUGAAUAUUGCCUCUUAUUUUUAAGAAAAUGGUUCUGUGAGAAGUGAAUGAUAGUGUAUUUUUACAAAUGCUUCAUGGUUAAGAGUGUUCAAGUCACAUGUCCCCCAAAUUUGAAAUAUACUGAAGAAAGAAUCUCAAAAAUAGCCAUUCGGGGCCCACAAAGUAAUUAUUAUUUUACCCUUAGAGCCUUACAUUUGUUUCAUGAAGAGAUAAUACGUAUAUAGUCCCAAUGUGACAAAACAAGACAAAGCAAAAACAGGAGGGGGAGAAGAUAAACCAGAAGAGGUUUUCAUAAUGCAGCCCUGUUAGACCCCAUUAACAGUUGUCAGUAUCUUUUUCAAAUGAACCUUUUUCAAAUUUAAGCAGUUUUACAUAUGUUUGUCAAUAUAUCAGAAAAAGAGAACUUAUAAAUUGGGGAAAAACUUCUCUCUGCUUCUUGAAGCUGUUCAAGUAUCCUUGCCACCCCACUACUGAACAAGAUUUUCACAACUUUUUAUUUUGCUUAAUCCUUCAGGAUUUAAUUCUUAACGCUUUUUACUCCAAACAAAAUUACUUACCUGGAUUAAAGAUUAAGGCCUUAUUCUGUUUAGAUCAUCUUUAAUCUCCAUGAAACUGUGAAACAAGACAGGAAUCAUUUUUCAGGAUGUAGGCUGUUUUACAUCUAAUUGCCCAUAAACAGUAGCAUUUUUGACCUGAAGUACUAAACUAAUUGUCUUGACUACUCAAAGCCCCUGAAUUGUUGUCAACUCUCCUCUUUGUGUUGUGUAGCCCUGGUGUCUCUUAGCUUGUUACCUGAUGUUCCAGAAGGACAGCUCCAAUGGAGCUUGGAUUUCUCAAGACGGAAAGCUCCCUUCCCUAACAUUCAUCUCCAACUGGCUGCUUACAAUGAAGGACCAGUCAUCUCCACUCCACCAGCGUGCUUACUGAGCUUAAAAGCUGACCUGUGUUUGUAAUUUCACUUUCAUCUUGCUUAAUAAAUAUCUGCUGGAUUCUUUCAUUCA
rnacentral:lncRNA from 1 species